UCUUGAUGUGUUGUGCAGGCUGGUCUCGAACUCAAGGGAUUCUCUUGCUUUAGUCUCCCGAAAGUGCUAGAAUUACCGGCGUGAGCAACUCCACCAGGCCAUAAACCUCUUUAAAUGGCUACCAAACGUAACUGCCGUCUUCUCUCAAUGCCACUGUUCCCUUUAACACAUUUUCCUUUUUUGAUUUAACAUGUCAUGUGUGUUUCCUUUAGAAAAAAUGCACAGAAGAAGCUAAAAGAAAAUAAAAGAAAAUUGAUUCCAUUACUCAGAGAUCAUCACUGCCAACAUCUUGGUCUCAGUAGCUCACAUGGAUUGGUCAGCAUUGUUCCAGAAUCAAGCUCUGCAUAAUCAAACCAGGACCGCCUGUUGUCCCAGGAGCUUCCUAACUCCUCUGAUUGGCGCAUCUACCUUGAUCGGCACUCAGAUAAGCCACACCAUGGACCAGCUGGUGAUGGGGAAAAUGUCAGCUUUGCUUUUAGGGAUUUGUUAUUGUGGGAACCCACUGUUUAUCAGCAGCUCUAGUUGAUCCACCUGCUUUGUGGUGCCAACAUAGGAACUUGUCUGGAGGGUCAGAGAAGAAGCAAUUGGCCCUCAAAGCACAUUGACACCUUUGAGGAAGGCGGAGGCCAAGUCAGCAGGCAGCAGCUUGCAGGGAAAUUAAGCAGAAUUCUGAACUUUUGGAAAGAAGUAAAUUUCUGGCACUUGGCAUGGUUUCAGAAUGAAUUCUGGAGGUUGGUGUAGUUCCCUGGAUCCAGGGGGCUUGGGGAAUUCCAUAUGAGUCAUUUGGGCUGACCUCAUAAGUGCCCCAGGGUAAGGGGCAAUCCUCUGUCUCCCCAGGCACUUCUGUUCAAGCAUUCUGCCCAGGAGUUGGCACAGCCACCCACGCCCGGCCACCUCAAGAGAUAGAUGGAAUACCAGCAGCCCACGGAUGUCCCUUGUCAGCAAAAAGCACCCUGGAAAUGGGUGGCUGGAUAAAAGGUCCUCUGUCUGUUGUUGGCUGGGACAGCGUCUACCACAGCCUACACUUGUAUUAUGGGAAUAUUUCUCUAUAGCUUAAUGCUCCAGAGAGAAGUGCACAUUUUCUGCUAAAUGUGUGGCUUCAUGGGCUUGUCGUUGAUGGCUUUCCUAGGAGAGGCCUUCAUGCUUCUACUUGGAGUCUGACCCCUACCCUUCCACCCUCAGCCUAGCUAGGCCUGAGCAGGUGCAUAAAGUGAUCUGACCUAGUGAAUGGGAAGGUGUACACCGAUAGAAUCUGUACAUUUUGCCUAUACCGCAUUCAAGAGAAUACAGUCGUGCAUCAUGACAUUUCAUCAAUGACGGACCACUGACUCAUUACCAGUGAUCCGGUAAGACGGUAACAGAUCUAUACAGUGGCAUGCGCUGUACCAUCUAAGUUUGUGUAAGUACACUCUAUGAUGUUUGCACAACAAUGAAACCAGCUAAUGACAUAUUUUUCAGAGCGCAUCCCUGGUGUGAGUGUAUAUUAAGGCCAAUUUCAUCUGUUUCUUCUUAUCUUUUAAUGUGGCCACUUAAAGGUUUAAAACUACA